rnacentral:tRNA from 1 species
CAAAUUAUAGCUUAUAUUAAAGCGUAUUAUUUACAUUAAUAUGAAAAUUUAUUAUUUAAUUUGA